UGAUCCAGCCAUGCCGCGUGCAGGAAGACUGCCCUAUGGGUUGUAAACUGCUUUUAUACGGGAAGAAACACCGCUACGUGUAGCGGCUUGACGGUACCGUAAGAAUAAGGAUCGGCUAACUCCGUGCCAGCAGCCGCGGUAAUAAUCGAAUUCCCGCGGCC
rnacentral:rRNA from 1 species